GAUGAACGCUGGCGGCGUGCCUAAUACAUGCAAGUCGAGCGAAUGGAUUAAGAGCUUGCUCUUAUGAAGUUAGCGGCGGACGGGUGAGUAACACGUGGGUAACCUGCCCAUAAGACUGGGAUAACUCCGGGAAACCGGGGCUAAUACCGGAUAACAUUUUGAACCGCAUGGUUCGAAAUUGAAAGGCGGCUUCGGCUGUCACUUAUGGAUGGACCCGCGUCGCAUUAGCUAGUUGGUGAGGUAACGGCUCACCAAGGCAACGAUGCGUAGCCGACCUGAGAGGGUGAUCGGCCACACUGGGACUGAGACACGGCCAGACUCCUACGGGAGGCAGCAGUAGGGAAUCUUCCGCAAUGGACGAAAGUCUGACGGAGCAACGCCGCGUGAGUGAUGAAGGCUUUCGGGUCGUAAAACUCUGUUGUUAGGGAAGAACAAGUGCUAGUUGAAUAAGCUGGCACCUUGACGGUACCUAACCAGAAGGCCACGGCUAACUACGUGCCAGCAGCCGCGGUAA
rnacentral:rRNA from 1 species